rnacentral:lncRNA from 1 species
UUAUCAUCAUCACCACCGUCAACCCUCUCCCCCCAUCCAUCGGCGGCGACCACCAAGCCUCUCCCUCAAGCCACCGAGGUUCUCCCCCCUCUGCUCCACAUAUCUCCUCACACACUCAACCACUCUCUUCUUCCCACUUUUCACCUCCCGACGCUUCUCGACGGCGCCGCCUCCACUUCCGUUGCGAAUCAGAAAUCAACCACACGCUUGCCACCAUCUCCUCUCCGUUGAGAAAUGGAAUCCCUCUUCGACGGCGUCACCUCCAGGUUAAACAUUUAUCGCUACUCUCUCCUACAAUCCUAUUUGUAAUUGUGACAGGUUGGUUUUGUUCUUCCAUAAACAAUUAAUUUCUAAUUCUUAGGGUUUUUUGUUCUGUUCUAUUUGGUUGUUGUGUUGUGUUUCGCCAUUGAAUUUUAAUUUUGCAGGUGUAGGGAGAACCAGAGAAACCAACACCCCUAAUCAGUUUUAGUUUUUAUUUGAUUUUGUUGAACUUUUGAAGAAACAAUUAUAGGGAUGUAAGCAUUCAUAUAUUUUUGUGAGCAGGGAUUAAUUUUGCUUUAUAUUUGAAACUAACGCAUCAAUAGAUAAAAGCAAUUAGAGGGAUUUUAAAAAGUUCACCGGAAGGUGAUCGUUUAUGAUCUAGAUAGGUAUUCUUCAUAAUAUUCAUUGGUUGGAUUGAAUGUAUCGGUCUCUCUAUCUCAUCUAAUUAUGUUUCUGAUUUUUUUUUUCCUUCACUUUUGCAGGUUUUCCUUUUUGGUAGGAUUGUGUUUAUAGAGGAAUGCAUAGCUUGACUGUAAUACUGAUGUAGAACAAGAGGAUCCAUCAACUAUUGGUAUUUGAGAAAGCUUCAACUUUGACGGAAGCAAGAAGACUAGAUAGAUAAGUAACUCUCUCAGUAGUUAGGUGCAAGAUUUAAUGAAUCAAUUUUGGUUAACACAAACUCAAAACAACCAUUGAUACAACCUCUUUGGUAUUAAAAUCUAGAGAUCUAAUCCUAGCAAACAUGCUUACCCUAUUGCUAAACCCUAAUCCUAAUUUUUUGGCUCCAAAUCGUUCUGGCCGUUGGAUCUCUAUCUUUGGGUGCCACUAUUAUAUCAACCAUUGAUCUUAUAUGUUGACUUGCACACAUCACAACAAUCAGUUCAAAUUUGAAAUUUGAAUCCUUGAAAAUUCAUCACAAUUAUUAUGCACACUACACAACACACGCGUUCUUUCUCUAAAAAAAAAACAAGCGUUUCUUCUUCUUCUUCCUCUUAUCAUCAUCACCACCGUCAACCCUCUCCCCCCAUCCAUCGGCGGCGACCACCAAGCCUCUCCCUCAAGCCACCGAGGUUCUCCCCCCUCUGCUCCACAUAUCUCCUCACACACUCAACCACUCUCUUCUUCCCACUUUUCACCUCCCGACGCUUCUCGACGGCGCCGCCUCCACUUCCGUUGCGAAUCAGAAAUCAACCACACGCUUGCCACCAUCUCCUCUCCGUUGAGAAAUGGAAUCCCUCUUCGACGGCGUCACCUCCAGGUUAAACAUUUAUCGCUACUCUCU